rnacentral:rRNA from 1 species
UACCAGCACCCCGAGUGGUCGGGGCGAUUAUUGGGCCUAAAGCAUCCGUAGCCGGUUUUACAAGUCCUCCGUUAAAUCCAGCUGCUUAACAGAUGGGCUGCGGAGGAUACUAUAAGACUAGGAGGCAGGAGAGGCAAGCGGUACUCAAUGGGUAGGGGUAAAAUCCGUUGAUCCAUUGAAGACCACCAGUGGCGAAGGCGGCUUGCCAGAAUGCGCUCGACGGUGAGGGAUGAAAGCUGGGGGAGCAAACCGG